AUUGAACGCUGGCGGCAUGCCUUACACAUGCAAGUCGAACGGUAACGGGCCUUCGGGUGCCGACGAGUGGCGAACGGGUGAGUAAUACAUCGGAACGUGCCCGAUCGUGGGGGAUAACGAGGCGAAAGCUUUGCUAAUACCGCAUACGAUCUACGGAUGAAAGCAGGGGACCGCAAGGCCUUGCGCGGACGGAGCGGCCGAUGGCAGAUUAGGUAGUUGGUGGGAUAAAAGCUUACCAAGCCGACGAUCUGUAGCUGGUCUGAGAGGAUGAUCAGCCACACUGGGACUGAGACACGGCCCAGACUCCUACGGGAGGCAGCAGUGGGGAAUUUUGGACAAUGGGCGCAAGCCUGAUCCAGCCAUGCCGCGUGCAGGAUGAAGGCCUUCGGGAUGUAAACUGCUUUUGUACGGAACGAAAAGCCUUCUUUUAAUACAGGAGGGUCAUGACGGUACCGUAAGAAUAAGCACCGGCUAACUACGUG
rnacentral:rRNA from 1 species